UACUAUAUGCAUAAGAUUGAACAGGAGCAGGUGGUGGUAAAGGUUGAAGCGGGGCUAAUGGUACCAAUGGAGAUGUAACUAAAUCCCUUUCAUGAAACUGAGGACGUUCAUGGUAUACACGCUCUUCAACCCGCUCACGGUGCCCACGCUCCUCAACCCGCUCACGGUAUCCACGCCGUCUUCUGUAAACAUCAGGAUUACCUAGCACUGUGUCACGUGGCUCUACUACUGCCUGUCUUCUGUAAACAUCAGGAUUGCAUGGCACUGUGUCCCGCCUAUAAGCAUCAGGGAGUUCCACCAAUCGGCUCUGCCUAUAAGUAUCAUCAUGCUGUAUCACUGUGUCCCGUCUAUAAGGAUCUGUUCUCGAAGUCCUACUAUAUGCAUAAGAUUGAACAGGAGCAGGUGGUGGUAAAGGUUGAAGCGCGGCUAAUGGCACCAAUGGAGAUGUAACUAAAUCCCUUUCAUGAAACUGAGGACGUUCAUGGUAUACACGCUCUUCAACCUGCUCACGGUACCCAUGCUCUUCAACCCGCUGACGGUACCCACGCUCUUCAACCCGCUGACGGUACCCACGCUCUUCAACCCGCUCAGGUCGUCGAGCACGUUCAGCCUGUCUUCUGCCAUCCCGACCCCGUCUCUUAACUCUGUCUCGCUUGGAUUUCGCAGAGGUCUCAAAUCCAAGCCGUGUGUCUUUGGACCUGGAACCUUUGCUCGCAGCAGUGAAAAGCUUACAUAGGUCCUUCACCUAGCAAUUAGCAACAAAUAUGCAAACAAAUUGUAGGUGCCGAGACUCGCAAGAAACUUACUGACAACAG
rnacentral:lncRNA from 1 species